AUACAGGCCUCACUUAGAGGCCUUGCUGUGACCUGGGGAGGUUAGGCAUCCAAAUGGGUAGCAGCGGCACCCUUCUGGAGAGACGGUCACCGGAGACCGGGCUUGUCAGACCCGGUCGGGAGCCGUUUU
rnacentral:ncRNA from 1 species